UCUAGGCCAGACGACGACGGCAACUCCGUAUCCGGCGGCAGUUCCUUCUCUUCCUCCCCUUUCGCUGCGGCCACGCCGGUCAUGUCCGGCGGUAGCGACGAGCACGCAGCUUCCAUUCCCCAGCUUUCUCUCACAAGACCUAGCUCGCUCCCCCUCACCAUGAGCUGCCACUGUUCCGCAAGCCCUCGGAUUCCUGCGGUCUGACGCAUCGUCCACCUCACUCUUCCCCUCCCGAUGGCGAAAUCGUCAGCAGGGACGCCAUGGGAUGGGAUCUGCAACGACAGGAGGAAAACACCAUGCGGAUUGCUGGGUGUAGAAAUUGUGCAUUACUGACUGUUGGUUCUGUGUGAUUUGAAGUUGUGCAUUCAGAUAAUUCAUCUACCUUUGAAGCGGCCCAACAGCUUCUUCAGUUCCUCUCACGUUCAGCUUGACAAUGGCAGAAGUUCCAUGUCGGCGGUAGAGGAAGCGACGGGCAACAUGAGAGCCUCACGCAAAUCAACCAGGAAGCUGCUUGUCUGCCGCACAUAGCUUAGUCACGGAGCUCUGGAACAUGCUUCAUCUUGUUACGCAUCUGGCACAAAGUCCAUUCAGUCUUGAAGUCCUUGUGCAAAUCAAGCAGCCAGAGCUUCUUCAGUGAUUU